rnacentral:rRNA from 14 species
UUAAAUUGAAGAGUUUGAUCAUGGCUCAGAUUGAACGCUGGCGGCAGGCCUAACACAUGCAAGUCGAACGGUAGCACAGAGAGCUUGC